CACUGCCACUCUCCGUUCUGCUCUCAGCUCCCCUCUCGCCAGACUCACAAAAGGAGAACUUUCAGCCUGAGUGCAAAAUGAAUGAUGAGGGCUUUCUUGGCUGUUUCAUUUCAGCCAGAUCAUUUCGGGUUUCCCCUGACAGGUUCCUGCCCCACCUAAGAGCUUCUCAUGCUCAAGAGACUGGGGUCCAGCAGGAAGCUGUUGUCAGAAGGGAGACAGGCAAAGCAGGGGGUGUUUCGCCAAGCUCUCCUCCUCUCGAGGUUCAGGCCAUCCUGCUCCCACGAGGCCACAUCAGCAUGUAAGCCAGUGCUGUCGGAGAAGCUGUGGCCGAUUUAACUGAAAUGAAAUUCCAUGCCUCGAGCAAUCAUCGAAUUCGUGUCUCAGAUGAAGUUCCCUAGUCACCCUGUCUGGGUCCUUCUCCUGCAAGACCACACAUGCAUGCCCUCACCUGCAAACCCACCUGCUUUGCACCUUCUCAUGCCCUCCUCUUCAUCCCUGGCCUCUGGGGUCCCCUGGCUCAGCAAGGGAGAAAAGGGGCCCUGUUUGAUCAGAGGCACCCAAGUGGUAAAGUCCACUCGAAUAGGGAAACACCUCAGUGGCCAGAUAUGCCACAGGGUGGCGGCCCCUCCAUGACCAGCGGCUCUAACCCCCGCUCAGAGCCCAUGUUUCCCAGCCUGUGACGGGACGUGACUUCCCUGGCUGCACCUCACAGUGAAGUCACUAAUCCCGGAGACGUGCUCUGACUGCUUGCGUGUUGUUUUAUCUCGUCCUCGCCUGGAUGAGAACUCCAUUGGUGGCAGAGACUACACCUCGCACCUCUCCUACUUCCCUGGCAAGGCGUGCUACGGACAAGCAGGACUCUCAGGAGGCUCACGGUAAGGACUGACAGGAGCAGGGAAGCUGGCUGGGUACCACGGGGAGCAGAUGAGGCAGGCGUGACCCAAAAUCCUCCAGGAGACCAUGGAAAUGAACAGCACUGUGGCAGCGGGCUGGCCAGGGAACAUGCAGCACACGACAGCCAACCACGUGCUCCCCGACUCCAUCCUCUGCCACCCGUUGAGCCAUCCUGCCACCCUCCCUGCCUGGGAGGCUCGAAUCGCUGGCUGAGUACCUCGACCACCUGGGCGGCGGAUCUAACAGGUGCUCAGCUACCUAGAAAAGGCUUAGGAAAGGACAGCUGUCUUGAGCUUGGGGUACCCAGUCCUGGGCCUACCUCCUUGAAGGAGGAAAGCAGCUCUUUUUAGGCCAGGCAGGUAACCAUGGGCUCCAUCGCGUGCAUUCAAACAUGUGAUGAGGAAGGCUAGAAAUACAGAAGCAGGGGCUAAAAGGCAUUAAAGAACAGAGCUGAAAUGAGUAAUAGCCUGGCAGGCAGCACGCACAGUGGCCUCCCUGCAUCCCCAGCCUCUCACUUGCAGAGGAAACUUCUGCAUUUCCACAAGACUGCCAGUUUCCUCUCUGUGGUCUAAUUUUAACCACCUUGUCGUUACAGUGUGUGUCAGCCACCUGACCCCACUAUGACCUCUGACCUUACGCCCCAGCUACUGCUUGCACUAUGGAUAAUUAUGUAAUGGGUCCAGGACUUUUCCUUUUCGGAGUGAGUCUGCUGUCGCUGAAAGGAGGGGAGGGGCGGUUAGGGGUUAGAGGAGGAGAGAGAAACACCUGAUAGUGGUCCUCGGCAUCACCUGGAUGCUUAGAGGUAGGCUAGCACCCCUGCUGAGUACGGCGGAACCCCACCCAGAAGAGGAGAGCGCGCCCAGGGAGUGUGUGCGGACAGGCAGGCCGGAGAGCUCCCCCUGUCAGGUCAUGGGCUGGAUGGUAGGCUGAAUGGCUCAGGAAGAAAGUGUGGUUCCUGGCCAAGAGGGAGAAAGGCCACAUGUGUGGACGUGGGACUCCUGGAGAUGGGGGUUUCCAGGGCACAGCGGGACCCAGGGAUGCAGACAUCCUGAGCCUGCCUGCGGUACAUCCUUAGUGGUCUAGGAGAAACAGCCCUCUACAUGGACACUCCUAAACAAAAAGGAGUGCUACCACCACCACCCCCACCCCGUCCCCCAUUCUAGUUUUCGCCCAGUUUAGAAGGAACUGGUUUCCUGGGGAUUUUGUCUGCUGUGGCCGUUUCCCUUGCCUUCCUCCCCUAGGGCAAGGGAACUCCUGGAUGAUUCUCAAAAGAGCUUUGAUCCAGUGGGGUUGCUGGGCUGGUACUAAGAGGCCUGAAAAGAAUUCUACCUGUUUGGAGAGAGAAAAGUCACCCAGGGUUUUGGAAGAGUAUCCUCUCCUUUGUGAUACAACUAGCGGGGAGGACAGCCAAGGGUGUAGAGUCUCCUUGGCUUUCAAAGUGCACUGGGGGUGUGAGGGACAGGCUUGAGCUACUGAGGCGGUAGGGAACUGAGAGGCAUCAAGUCUAGGGCUUGUCCAGGGGCAGAGAGAAACCUUCAGCCUCCAGCCUGGUGGCCGGUGUGCUGAAGCAUUCUGCUUUCAGGUGGGAGGAAAUCUAGCCCCAUGGGGUAGAUUUCUCCUAAACAAAGAAUCCAGCACUUGAGCUGGUGGUGGUGGGGAGUUUAAAUAUGUUAAGAAGGGACAUCACCACAGAGGAAGCCACCCACAGAGAGCCGAUUCCGAGAUGAUCUUGGGCCAAGGAGGGCUUUCUGGUAGGAGAGGGGUUAAAGCUAAGGCUCCCUACUUGGAGAGGAGGAGUCCAGAUGAAGUCUAUGACAUAAUCCCCACAAGAGCUCUGUUCAUGAGUACAUUUUUCCAUUCUAUAUCAAUGAAAAACAGAGAAUGUAAGUGGUAUGUACAUUGUAGCUCUGGGCAAACUUUAGACUCUCUAGAGGAGAAAGAGCUGGGCAGGAGAGGCCUCCUUCCCAGGCUGUUAACAGGUGGGGCUGGAGGGGGCCUAGAGAUGAGUAGAAGGUUGCUGGCCAGGGAACACCCUGGGGCACAUGAGACUGGCACCUUCUCAGGGGCAGGCAUGGUCCUUCUCGAGGGACUCACUGCGCAGGGGAUCACCAGGAGCUCCAAAGUUAACGGAUGGAAUGUCUCACACAAACCAGUCAGAAAACUGGAAAGAAAACUGGGGCUCUGGGUCAGGGAAGAGGCGAAAGAAAGGCACCCAGAGAAAGCCCCUUUGCCUUCCCCUGAAGACCAUCUGAGGCAGCGCGCCCCAUCAGUGGGAACUGAAACCUCUAGCCUCAGGGUUCCAGCUAUCACCCGGAUCAGGUCCACACGCAAAGAACCAAGCAGAAAGGAAAACUGAAAGUGAGAUGUGGCAAGGCGAUACGGCAGCCCGUCCUGUCCCAGGCUCAGUUCCUUAGAGAGAGAACGCGAGCCUGCACAGGAGGCAGGAAAGGUACUCUGCCUGACACCACUAAGACUCGUGGAAGCCAGACUCAGAGGCAGAUGCGUCCUGAGGAAGUCGGAUGGAGCAUCCUCGGGCUCAGCCUUGCCACCGGAUAAAGUCCCAGUCUCGGCGCUCUCCGUGGUCUCCUCAACAUCCUGCUUAUUCCUUCCACGAAGACUUUCACUGAGACGGAUGUGGCUCCUGGAGAGCGUGCCCACGUGUGAUCUGGCGGCAGAGAACAGAGCACACAGCUCUCCCUCACUCGGCCCUGGACACCUCGACCCUGCGAAGAGGCCGAGACGGCGCGGGUUUUAUUCUUCACCACUUGGCCCUCAUGACAUGUUAAUCGCUUUCUGCAAGGGCACCCCUGGAGCUUCUGAGGCACAACCACAAAGCCCGCUGCGCGCUUCACUACCCUCCGCUGUCAAGGCUGACACUGCGUGAACAGCUGCUCCAUGCCAGGCUGUGCCCAAAAGCUUUCAUGCACCACCUCAUCUGCUCCCUGCGACAGCCCCGCCAGCUCUCAACGGGUCCCGAGCAUCGACCUGUGCUUUGGGCAGAGACUCUCGCAAGCUCCACAGCAAGAAAGAGCUCAUCGUGAACUCGAAGGGGCAGUCUUCUGCUGCUGCCCUUGUGAAGACGGAGCUCCUCCUGGGCUUGUCGCCCUUCUCUGGGGAAGCUGACAUGCUCCAGGUUUCUAGGACUCUGGGCAGUCAUCUUGGAAAGGAGGAGAGGAAAGACGGUGCUGCCACUGACCUUGAUGCGGAGCUCAGCUCUGUCGUGGAGACAGUGCCAAGAGCUGGGCUGGGCCAUUUUUUGAAGGAAGGGUUGAUGAUGCAGAGUCCGAACUAACAGUGAGAGCCUGGGGCUAAUGCCUGAUGGAAAAAGGUGGUAUAGGUUCUGCUCAUGCGAUAAGCGGCUCGGGAAGACUUGGAGGGUUUUAUGGAAUCAUUAGCACAGAGCUCCCCUCUGGCCACAGAGCAGAGGAAGGAACAGCAGACCAGUUUAUAAAGCUCCAGAGCGGAAAAUUUCUGUUGGUGUCCAAACUAAGUUUUUUGGCUUUCUGUGAGGUUUGGAAAGACUUAUACUGAUGUUUUAAUCACCUGUUUAGUGUUCUGAAGACUCUUGUCAGCGGCCUCACUGAGCCUGCUCCAGCAGGCAGUGGGAGCUGCUGGCUCAGACACUGUGCUCUUUCUGGGAGCCGUUUCUUUCCCAUGGCCGCCCCUGACACCCUGCAGCUCCCUCCACGCCACUUGGAGGGUACGAGGCAAACCUGUGUGCCCUGUAGGAGGCUGAGGACACACUUUCUGGAUAAUUGCUCACAAGAUCCGAAGCCAGGAAAUGUUGCUUAGGAAAAGCGAAGGUGCAGACAGGUAAGGAGCAGUUUCUGGAGAUCAGUCGGCCAGCAAGGCCUCUGGGGCGGCCCAGAGGAAGCAGGCUUGCCUUCUAGGAGAACCACCACCCAGACAUUCCAAAGCCCUUGGGAACUGAUCAUGAAAGAAGUCCUCAUGAGUGAAAAAGAAAACUGAACAAACUCAGGGCACGGCGCGUUCUAGAAACAAAAACUCAUGAGCUUGCAAGAAGCUCAUUAAGGAGCUUCAGGGUAGUGGCAAGUAGAACAAGUCAGUAAUUCUUCUGCAGUUUUCAUGGGUCACAGCUUCUCAGUGGCUGAAAUAUCCCAUUUUACCGGGAAAGCUGCGGUGGAGAUGAAGCGGUGGCUGAAUGUUGCUAGGCAUUAGGCUAUUUCAUCUCAUUAUCACAGUAAUCCUGGGAGAUAGAAAGAGGAAGAAGAAACUGAAGCCCAAAGGAAACACACAUGCAGUAAGUGGUGAGGCUGGGAUUUGAACCCACAUUUGUCUUACACUGAAGCCUGUGCUCAGUCCAUUAUACUACAGAGCCUCUUAGGAAGUAAUGGCACUCUUGGAGAAAGGAUCCUCCAGGACCUUCUUCAAGUCCUGCCCCCUCCUCCGGGCUCAGCAGCCCAAAGGCUCACCUCCAGGACAAAAUAAAACAGUUCUGAAGAACACAUUUAGAUGCACACAAACCAAAUGGGUGCUUGGCUAAGCUACAGGCAAGAACAGAGACAGUGAAAUGAAAAACUUCUCAGAAUAUCUACCCUAAAAGGAGUCUAUCGUCCACAUCCAGUUUACUUCAUCUCCCUGGACACAGCAGGGCAAGACCUCAGCUGCUCAGCCGAUGCACUGAAUGAACAUGGGAAACCAGUCACCACCGGAUGCCAAGUUAAGGCUACGCGUGAGUGGCCCCAGAAAGUUCUCUGCACUACAGUCUUGGACCCUGGAUGGACUGUAAAGAGAAAGGGCUAUCAAGGAGCACGGGGACGAGACAAAAGAAAUCAAAGCUCUCUCCUUCCACCUGGCACCCAAAGGCUCCCCAGAUCCAUCAGUCUGAGAAACGUUUACUAAGCAGGCAACAGGGGGUGUUGUUCCUCUGGCAGCACUGGAUCUUGGAGCAGCAUGUGAAGGCAGAGAAGAGAAAGGACAACAGUUUCCUUCUCAGCAGAAAGACCAGGCUGAGGGAGGAGAAGCUCAUUUCUGACUGAGUUCUCAGGGCGUACUUCCCGGCCCCAGAAUGUUUUUUUCUUUCUCUUCUGCUCUUUCCUGGGGAAGCUAUUACAACUGUCUGCUCUCUCCAGCUGAGAGUUAACCUCCGUGUCUGGUCAGACCGCUCCACACAUGCUGCUGCUCCCUGCCCUGCUAUGCCCACGUUCAAGAAGAUAAGCCUCCAACGUGGCUCUUCGGGGAGGAAGGAAGGGGGUCUCUCAAGGGACCUCUGCUCACUGAGGGAAGAGGGACUCGGACGCAGCAGCCCACCCGCCCUCCCUCAGUGACCUCAGGGGAGUCUACACAGGCUGCCGGUGAGAGGGGCGAGGGAGGGGGCAGGCAGCGAGAGAGCGAGAGAGGGAGACCAUGACCAGAGAGGUCUUAAGUCCCACAGGAGUUAACUGUGAGGACAAGGAAAAGGCCGUCUGCCUUGUCACCGGGCCAAGAUUAACCAGACCCAUCCAAUUAUGACAGAGGGAAGGCGGGUGCAGGAUCAAGACGAGGGGCAGAAGCCUGCAGACCACUGCAUACGGGGAAACAUCGGAGAAAAGUGUUCCAAAGCUGAUGACAAGGCAGACAGGGAACUUACAUGUCCUUGCUGACAGGAAAGAAAGAGUGACACUCUGGGUCUUCUCUCAUCUGCGGGAUUUCUAACAGGCGUCUGAGGUUCACCCUCUUCCCAAGGAUGUGCUGACAGCUGGGAACACUGCCCUUCGGGUCAGGCAGAGCAGGGAUCUAGCCCUCUCCAGGAGCUCACAAAGAGGUUUAGUAAGGACUCAAACCACGGUCCAAAACACAAAUGGGACUGCCAUUUCCUGCUGGGUUUCCACGCUGUAAAAAGUGGGGGAGAAAUGCCAACUACAAAGCGCUCGGUCUCCUGUGGAAAAUGGAGUCCGCCGUGUAUCCGGCUCCAGGUUCUGACUUGUAAAUCUAAGUGAGAACUAGUUGCUAGCUGCUGGAGGAUUAUAGUGUUAAAGAGACAUUCCACCACCCCACCUGCCAGCCUUUCUGCUCCCUGUCUGUGGACUUCUAGGGAGCUGACGACAAAGCUGUCUUGGGCCUCCGUAGGAAGGGCAGCCUCGGGCUUUGGCAGCUCCUUCUGGACCCCAGUUCACUGUCCUGUGUUCUUAAACAGCUUUGAUGGAACAAGCCAUCUGUGAGGGUUAUUUAGCUUGGAACUGGAAGAGGGUGAGGAUGUGGAAAAAAUAAACUGAGCAGCCAAAGGAUGGGGCCAGAGAGAGAGAAGGCAGGUGGCAUGUUCAUGGGACUAUGUGCCAGGGCUGAGAGGAGGGUGGGAUUACAGAAAGGAACGGUGCCGAAAGGAGGCCGGCCUGGGAAGUGCUGGAAUGCCCAGGACAGUGUGAUUUUAUUUCCCAAGUGGUGUUUUGCUGUUCUCCUUCAAGAGCUCACAAACCCUCACCUGUGGGAGUCUGUUACAGGAGACUCCUAGGAUAACAGAACUGUAAGCACACCUGUUUCACCUUCUGAAAAACUACCUGAAUCCUAAUUUCUUGCUGGGCUUCGUCUUAGUCUAAAAGGUUAAUCUAACAGUUUUUUGGACAUCCAAAGCUACAGACGAUGGCAAAAGCCGGAUCCUUAACCCACUGAGCGAGGCCAAAGAUUGAACCCGCAACCUCAUGGUUCCUAGUCGGAUUCGUUAACCACUGAGCCACAACGGGAACUCCAAAACUUCAGGGUAUUCUGGGAAGAUAUAUGGGAAUCUGAUGCAGGACUGGAUUGUAACUAGCUGUUUCUUUGGAGUCUUCUUAAUCGUCCCCUCUACUGAGAGAGACUUCUAUUUUUAAAAUCCAGGCAUUUCCACUUACUGUAUCGCAUUAACCUGACUGAAAUCUUAGGAAGGGACUACUCUCAUUCCCAUUUCAUACAGGAAUAAAUAAGUUAUGAUUUUC